rnacentral:rRNA from 1 species
GAUGAACGCUGGCGGUAUGCCUAACACAUGCAAGUCGAACGGAGUUCUUCGGAACUUAGUGGCGGACGGGUGAGUAACACGUGAGAACCUACCUUCAGAAUGGGGACAACAGUUGGAAACGACUGCUAAUACCCAAUGUGCCGAAAGGUGAAAGAUUUAUCGUCUGAAGAUGGGCUCGCGUCUGAUUAGCUAGAUGGUGGGGUAAGAGCCUACCAUGGCAACGAUCAGUAGCUGGUCUGAGAGGAUGAGCAGCCACACUGGGACUGAGACACGGCCCAGACUCCUACGGGAGGCAGCAGUGGGGAAUUUUCCGCAAUGGGCGAAAGCCUGACGGAGCAAUACCGCGUGAGGGAGGAAGGUCCUUGGAUUGUAAACCUCUUUUAUCAGGGAAGAAGUUCUGACGGUACCUGAUGAAUAAGCAUCGGCUAACUCCGUGCCAGCCGCCGCCGUAAAAC